GAAAGAGAGAGAGAGAGUACAUUCUCAGGUUGGCCCGCACGAGACCGGAAAUUCGUCCAAUUAAUCGAUUAGAUAAAUUUAUUUCAAACAUCGAUAUUUCGAUUCUCUAGAAGAAGCUCGAAAUAUCGCGAUGCGCGCGAUAUCAGCGAGUAUAGUAUGUAUAAAACCAUGUUGAUCUUACAUCGAUCGACGAUAUACAUCUCUCAUACAUUCGUUAAUAAUCUAAUUAUUUAGCAAGCAGCAAUAGUAGGCCGAUAGUUAGACGUCGUUGGAUGUGUGCCAAACAGCUGACCGAAUGUCAGUAAGAGAAUUCGUCGAUCUUCAAGUUUAUCUAAUCAUUAUUUACGGUAUCAAAAUACCGGAUGCGAUUAUCUUUUGAAAUAAUCUAUCUUUUUUAAGUAAACCGAGAUGCUUCCCGCGUCUCUAAAAUUGAGUUUCCUUAAUUAUAAUUUUGUUAAUAACCAUAAAACAUUUUAUAUCAAUCAAUAAUUUGACACAAAAAAUACCAAGCGGUCGCAUAAAAAAAUAUUGUUUAGUGAAGAAAAUUAUCUUAGCGUCUCUGAAUAUUCGCUCACAAUUUUUAAAUCGAAUUUUCUAUCAGAUCGUAAAGACCCGUUAAAUUCCUGUAAUACAGCGCCGAGAUAAUUUACGAGGAUCGCGAGAAGAAUGGCUUUGACUACGGCAAAUAAGUUUUUAUAACGCGACUCGUACAAAUGAGAGAUAUCCGAAAUUCAAGGUUCGAGAAAGACGCCAGGUUUCUUGAUUUUAAUCCGAAUUUUGAACUUGCCCUCUUCUUCUUCGCAAUAUGUUCGAUUCCUAAAAUAUACAUCAAUCGCUGAUUUUUUUUUGCGCAUGCAACGUCGAACGAAAUCGAGACGUGCGAGUCCGUUGACUUGCUCCAUCACGGACAUGAAGACACCCGGUGACCGAUGGGGGAGCAGAGUUUACUGCCGCCGUCUGCUUUCUUGCCGCUCGUUUUAUUUAUUAUUCUCGACGGCUCCUCGUCGUCGUCGUCCUUGACUCGGCAUAUGACCUGCGCUAAUGUAAUUUCGAGAGACCCGGGUCCCUCUUCUAUUGUCGAUCGUUGAACCUUUUAUCGCUCGGCAACGCGACAACGUCGACAUUCGAAUAUUGCGAGUAAUUGUGUGCGCUCACAAUCAUGAAACAGUAUGAUGCGAGGCGCGUUAUUUUCGAGCGCACUCGGGAUAGUUAAUCUGACCCGGUAACCCAUCUGUCAGGAGUCGAAUCGUUUGUGUCUAUUUGCGGACGCACGAGUUUGAGCCGCGUCUCUCUGUUCUCUUUCCUCUUUUCUCUCUCCUCUCCUAUCCUCUCUUUUCCUCUGCGAGGAUAAGUACAAUACCGCCGUCAUGUUAAAACGACGUAAACGACGCAUUAAUAUCUAUUUUAAUCCGACAAUUUUAUAAAAUUUUUCCUGCUUUAAUUUAGCGAUUUUUUUUCUCUUCAGGAGAGACGCGAUAUUUAUUAAGAAUUAUUCUUUAAAGUUUCUUGUUUGAUCUUGCUACGUUCUUCGACGGACGA